GGGUCAGUAGGUUGGUCGUGCCACAGGUACGUACUGGCCUCACUGAUUCCUCCUUCCUGAAGAACCGUAAUGCCAUUAAUUUGGUGUUGCGGGGAAACAGGACUGUUACUUUGAAAAAAUUAGAGUGUUUAAAGCAAGCUAACGCUUGAAUACAUUAGCAUGGAAUAAUGAAAUAGGACGAUCGAUCCUAUUUUGUUGGUUUCUAGGAUUGACGUA
rnacentral:rRNA from 1 species